rnacentral:rRNA from 1 species
UGGGGAAUAUUGGACAAUGGGCGCAAGCCUGAUCCAGCCAUGCCGCGUGAGUGACGAAGGCCUUAGGGUUGUAAAGCUCUUUUGGCGGGGAAGAUAAUGACGGUACCCGCAGAAUAAGCUCCGGCUAACUUCGUGCCAGCAGCCGCGGUAAUACGAAGGGAGCUAGCGUUGUUCGGAAUCACUGGGCGUAAAGCGCACGUAGGUGGGCAGUUAAGUCAGGGGUGAAAGCCCGAGGCUCAACCUUGGAAUUGCCUCUGAUACUGGCUGUCUAGAGUUCGAGAGAGGUGAGUGGAAUUCCUAGUGUAGAGGUGAAAUUCGUAGAUAUUAGGAAGAACACCGGUGGCGAAGGCGGCUCACUGGCUCGAUACUGACACUGAGGUGCGAAAGCGUGGGGAGCAAACAGGAUUAGAUACCCACGUAGUCCCUGAGCGGGCUGGCAAGGCGCAU